GACGUAGGGUGCGAGCGUUGUCCGGAUUUAUUGGGCGUAAAGAGCUCGUAGGCGGCUUGUUACGUCGGCUGUGAAACCCGCGGCUCAACCGCGGGCCUGCAGCCGAUACGGGCAGGCUAGAGUUCGGUAGGGGAGACUGGAAUUCUCGGUGUAGCGGUGAAAUGCGUAGAUAUCGAGAGGAACACCUGCGGCGAAGGCGGGUGCUGGGCUGACACUGACGCUGAUGCGCGAAAGCCAGGGGAGCGAACGGG
rnacentral:rRNA from 1 species